GAGCUCGAUGAGUAGGGCGGGACACGUGGUAUCCUGUCUGAAUAUGGGGGGACCAUCCUCCAAGGCUAAAUACUCCUGACUGACCGAUAGUGAACCAGUACCGUGAGGGAAAGGCGAAAAGAACCCCGGCGAGGGGAGUGAAAAAGAACCUGAAACCGUGUACGUACAAGCAGUGGGAGCACAGAGCAAUCUGUGUGACUGCGUACCUUUUGUAUAAUGGGUCAGCGACUUAUAUUCUGUAGCAAGGUUAACCGAAUAGGGGAGCCGAAGGGAAACCGAGUCUUAACUGGGCGUUAAGUUGCAGGGUAUAGACCCGAAACCCGGUGAUCUAGCCAUGGGCAGGUUGAAGGUUGGGUAACACUAACUGGAGGACCGAACCGACUAAUGUUGAAAAAUUAGCGGAUGACUUGUGGCUGGGGGUGAAAGGCCAAUCAAACCGGGAGAUAGCUGGUUCUCCCCGAAAGCUAUUUAGGUAGCGCCUCGUGAAUUCAUCUCCGGGGGUAGAGCACUGUUUCGGCAAGGGGGUCAUCCCGACUUACCAACCCGAUGCAAACUGCGAAUACCGGAGAAUGUUAUCACGGGAGACACACGGCGGGUGCUAACGUCCGUCGUGAAGAGGGAAACAACCCAGACCGCCAGCUAAGGUCCCAAAGUCAUGGUUAAGUGGGAAACGAUGUGGGAAGGCCCAGACAGCCAGGAUGUUGGCUUAGAAGCAGCCAUCAUUUAAAGAAAGCGUAAUAGCUCACUGGUCGAGUCGGCCUGCGCGGAAGAUGUAACGGGGCUAAACCAUGCACCGAAGCUGCGGCAGCGACGCUUAUGCGUUGUUGGGUAGGGGAGCGUUCUGUAAGCCUGCGAAGGUGUGCUGUGAGGCAUGCUGGAGGUAUCAGAAGUGCGAAUGCUGACAUAAGUAACGAUAAAGCGGGUGAAAAGCCCGCUCGCCGGAAGACCAAGGGUUCCUGUCCAACGUUAAUCGGGGCAGGGUGAGUCGACCCCUAAGGCGAGGCCGAAAGGCGUAGUCGAUGGGAAACAGGUUAAUAUUCCUGUACUUGGUGUUACUGCGAAGGGGGGACGGAGAAGG
rnacentral:rRNA from 1 species